rnacentral:rRNA from 1 species
GGUUAAGCGACUAAGCGUACACGGUGGAUGCCCUGGCAGUCAGAGGCGAUGAAGGACGUGCUAAUCUGCGAUAAGCGUCGGUAAGGUGAUAUGAACCGUUAUAACCGGCGAUUUCCGAAUGGGGAAACCCAGUGUGUUUCGACACACUAUCAUUAACUGAAUCCAUAGGUUAAUGAGGCGAACCGGGGGAACUGAAACAUCUAAGUACCCCGAGGAAAAGAAAUCAACCGAGAUUCCCCCAGUAGCGGCGAGCGAACGGGGAGCAGCCCAGAGCCUGAAUCAGUGUGUGUGUUAGUGGAAGCGUCUGGAAAGGCGCGCGAUACAGGGUGACAGCCCCGUACACAAAAAUGCACAUGCUGUGAGCUCGAUGAGUAGGGCGGGACACGUGGUAUCCUGUCUGAAUAUGGGGGGACCAUCCUCCAAGGCUAAAUACUCCUGACUGACCGAUAGUGAACCAGUACCGUGAGGGAAAGGCGAAAAGAACCCCGGCGAGGGGAGUGAAAAAGAACCUGAAACCGUGUACGUACAAGCAGUGGGAGCACGCUUAGGCGUGUGACUGCGUACCUUUUGUAUAAUGGGUCAGCGACUUAUAUUCUGUAGCAAGGUUAACCGAAUAGGGGAGCCGAAGGGAAACCGAGUCUUAACUGGGCGUUAAGUUGCAGGGUAUAGACCCGAAACCCGGUGAUCUAGCCAUGGGCAGGUUGAAGGUUGGGUAACACUAACUGGAGGACCGAACCGACUAAUGUUGAAAAAUUAGCGGAUGACUUGUGGCUGGGGGUGAAAGGCCAAUCAAACCGGGAGAUAGCUGGUUCUCCCCGAAAGCUAUUUAGGUAGCGCCUCGUGAAUUCAUCUCCGGGGGUAGAGCACUGUUUCGGCAAGGGGGUCAUCCCGACUUACCAACCCGAUGCAAACUGCGAAUACCGGAGAAUGUUAUCACGGGAGACACACGGCGGGUGCUAACGUCCGUCGUGAAGAGGGAAACAACCCAGACCGCCAGCUAAGGUCCCAAAGUCAUGGUUAAGUGGGAAACGAUGUGGGAAGGCCCAGACAGCCAGGAUGUUGGCUUAGAAGCAGCCAUCAUUUAAAGAAAGCGUAAUAGCUCACUGGUCGAGUCGGCCUGCGCGGAAGAUGUAACGGGGCUAAACCAUGCACCGAAGCUGCGGCAGCGACGCUUAUGCGUUGUUGGGUAGGGGAGCGUUCUGUAAGCCUGCGAAGGUGUGCUGUGAGGCAUGCUGGAGGUAUCAGAAGUGCGAAUGCUGACAUAAGUAACGAUAAAGCGGGUGAAAAGCCCGCUCGCCGGAAGACCAAGGGUUCCUGUCCAACGUUAAUCGGGGCAGGGUGAGUCGACCCCUAAGGCGAGGCCGAAAGGCGUAGUCGAUGGGAAACAGGUUAAUAUUCCUGUACUUGGUGUUACUGCGAAGGGGGGACGGAGAAGGCUAUGUUGGCCGGGCGACGGUUGUCCCGGUUUAAGCGUGUAGGCUGGUUUUCCAGGCAAAUCCGGAAAAUCAAGGCUGAGGCGUGAUGACGAGGCACUACGGUGCUGAAGCAACAAAUGCCCUGCUUCCAGGAAAAGCCUCUAAGCAUCAGGUAACAUCAAAUCGUACCCCAAACCGACACAGGUGGUCAGGUAGAGAAUACCAAGGCGCUUGAGAGAACUCGGGUGAAGGAACUAGGCAAAAUGGUGCCGUAACUUCGGGAGAAGGCACGCUGAUAUGUAGGUGAGGACUUGCUCGUGGAGCUGAAAUCAGUCGAAGAUACCAGCUGGCUGCAACUGUUUAUUAAAAACACAGCACUGUGCAAACACGAAAGUGGACGUAUACGGUGUGACGCCUGCCCGGUGCCGGAAGGUUAAUUGAUGGGGUUAGCGCAAGCGAAGCUCUUGAUCGAAGCCCCGGUAAACGGCGGCCGUAACUAUAACGGUCCUAAGGUAGCGAAAUUCCUUGUCGGGUAAGUUCCGACCUGCACGAAUGGCGUAAUGAUGGCCAGGCUGUCUCCACCCGAGACUCAGUGAAAUUGAACUCGCUGUGAAGAUGCAGUGUACCCGCGGCAAGACGGAAAGACCCCGUGAACCUUUACUAUAGCUUGACACUGAACAUUGAGCCUUGAUGUGUAGGAUAGGUGGGAGGCUUUGAAGUGUGGACGCCAGUCUGCAUGGAGCCGACCUUGAAAUACCACCCUUUAAUGUUUGAUGUUCUAACGUUGACCCGUAAUCCGGGUUGCGGACAGUGUCUGGUGGGUAGUUUGACUGGGGCGGUCUCCUCCUAAAGAGUAACGGAGGAGCACGAAGGUUGGCUAAUCCUGGUCGGACAUCAGGAGGUUAGUGCAAUGGCAUAAGCCAGCUUGACUGCGAGCGUGACGGCGCGAGCAGGUGCGAAAGCAGGUCAUAGUGAUCCGGUGGUUCUGAAUGGAAGGGCCAUCGCUCAACGGAUAAAAGGUACUCCGGGGAUAACAGGCUGAUACCGCCCAAGAGUUCAUAUCGACGGCGGUGUUUGGCACCUCGAUGUCGGCUCAUCACAUCCUGGGGCUGAAGUAGGUCCCAAGGGUAUGGCUGUUCGCCAUUUAAAGUGGUACGCGAGCUGGGUUUAGAACGUCGUGAGACAGUUCGGUCCCUAUCUGCCGUGGGCGCUGGAGAACUGAGGGGGGCUGCUCCUAGUACGAGAGGACCGGAGUGGACGCAUCACUGGUGUUCGGGUUGUCAUGCCAAUGGCACUGCCCGGUAGCUAAAUGCGGAAGAGAUAAGUGCUGAAAGCAUCUAAGCACGAAACUUGCCCCGAGAUGAGUUCUCCCUGACUCCUUGAGAGUCCUGAAGGAACGUUGAAGACGACGACGUUGAUAGGCCGGGUGUGUAAGCGCAGCGAUGCGUUGAGCUAACCGGUACUAAUGAACCGUGAGGCUUAACCUUAC